CAGUCGCCGCGGUAAUACGUAGGUGGCAAGCGUUGUCCGGAAUUAUUGGGCGUAAAGGGCUCGCAGGCGGUUUCAUAAGUCUGAUGUGAAAGCCCCCGGCUCAACCGGGGAGGGUCAUUGGAAACUGGGAAACUUGGGUGCAGAAGAGGAGAGUGGAAUUCCACGUGUAGCGGUGAAAUGCGUAGAGAUGUGGAGGAACACCAGUGGCGAAGGCGACUCUCUGGUCUGUAACUGACGCUGAGGAGCGAAAGCGUGGGGAGCGAACAGGAUUAGAUACCCGCGUAGUCCCUGUCUCUUAUAA
rnacentral:rRNA from 1 species